ACUACCGAACAAUUAAUGGUUUUAAAGUUUUAGUUGAAAAAGAAUGGUCGUCCUUUUUACAUCGUUUCUCACAUCGCUGUAAUCAUACACAUUCAACGCAAUCAAGUGGAUUCACGUCUGUUUUCUUGCAAUUUCUUGAUGGCGUCCAUCAGAUAUUACGUCAGUAUCCACUAUCCUUCGAAUUCAACGAGUAUUAUUUACAUUUCCUCGCCUAUCAUCAUGUCUCCAUGCGUUUUCGUACGUUUUUUACUGGAUUCAGAGCACGAACGUGUGCAGUUGGGUUGGCUAUCAGAUGCUAAAAAGAAAGAUGCAAAGACUUCUAAAUCUCACAUAAAAAGUCUUUGGGAUUACAUCGACAUGCUAC